rnacentral:tRNA from 1 species
GCAGACAAAGCUUUAUAGAAGCAACGGUUUUGUAACCCGUAGAUCACCCACUAUUGUGUGCCUGCU